AAAAACUGAGGUGGUAUACGAUGGUUCCGCGUCUGAUUAGCUAGUUGGUGGGGUAAAAGCCUACCAAGGCAACGAUCAGUAGCCGGCCUGAGAGGGUGAACGGCCACAUUGGGACUGAGACACGGCCCAAACUCCUACGGGAGGCAGCAGUGGGGAAUAUUGCACAAUGGGGGAAACCCUGAUGCAGCGACGCCGCGUGAGUGAAGAAGUAUUUCGGUAUGUAAAGCUCUAUCAGCAGGGAAGAAAUACUGACCAUAGGGUCAGCAGACGGUACUUGACUAAGAAGCCCCGGCUAACUACGUGCCAGCAGCCGCGGUAAUACGUAGGGGGCAAGCGUUAUCCGGAUUUACUGGGUGUAAAGGGAGCGUAGACGGCAGCGCAAGUCUGAAGUGAAAUGCCAGGGCUUAACCCUGGAACUGCUUUGGAAACUGUGCAGCUAGAGUGCAGGAGAGGUAAGUGGAAUUUCUAGUGUAGCGGUGAAAUGCGCAGAUAUUAGGAGGAACACCAGUGGCGAAGGCGGCUUACUGGACUGUAACUGACGUUGAGGCUCGAAAGCGUGGGGAGCAAACAGGAUUAGAUACCCUGGUAGUCCACGCUGUAAACGAUGAUUACUAGGUGUUGGGGGACCAAGGUUCUUCG
rnacentral:rRNA from 1 species